rnacentral:piRNA from 1 species
UACACCGCCACAUUGAAUUCACCUUCCAGC